UACUUAUCCGAAGUUCUGAACCCCCGUUCAUAUCUCAGAUUUUUUUCAUGGCUCGAGCCUCUUAGCUCUCCCUUUCGCCAGCUUUCUGUCAUUACCAAUUUCGUUCUUUUCUCAUGAAGCAGAUCCUCUCUAUUCCUUCGCGUUUCGGUUCUUCGCUUUCUCUGUUUCUUCAGCCACCGACUACUAUUAUAUUGUCCGCCUGAGAUUGUAUUUUCUCUACCUAGGGUUUGCAUCGCUGCAUUUUCCAAGCUUAUAUUUUGGCAUCGCAAGAACCUUUUCUUUGGAGCACAAUGAACUUGAGUCGAUUUCUUUUUGGAUACGCGUGGCCGCCGAGAAUCUUAUCCCAGACACGUUGCUAGCCCUAGCUAGCUCGGCUGCUCAUAAGAUAACCAUCCAAGAAAACUGGGUUUGUUUCAAAGCAAGACUUGUAUUCAGCCAUCGGAAAAUAUCUUGGUUGGAACUGUCAUGCCGGGAGCAAAAGAGUUGCCCUUUUUAUUAUUUUAAAUUUUAGUGUGUGAUAUAUAAAGUAGCAUAAAGCUACUAUGCUGUAAGGCUGUACACUAAACUGAAAAAUCGGCCUACACCGACGGAGACCGACUGCUGGAAUCAGCCUAAAUCUGUGAAGAACCAAUCGGCGGUUGAGUUAAAUAUAUAGGAACCGACGUCGGCCGGUUCGGUUUGCGGUUCGUCCUAAAGAAAAACCGCUGAACCGGUUGACAUUAGCUAUAAUUUUUUUUGUUUUGUUUUAUAUCUAUAGAGAAACGGCACCGUUUAAGACCUUUGACUGAGAAAAAAAUUUAGUGGAACGGGCCGUUUAACUUAAGCCAAAUGACGUCGUUCCAAAAUGACAUUAAAUGAACUCCCCCCCUUCUUGUCUGUCUUCUUCUUCAAGCUCUAGGGUUUCUUUUGUUUUUCUCUACCAGAGCUUCUAUGCACACCCAUGGCAGAGUUGUAGACGCUACUCCUCUGUCGCAGAUGACGACGAUGGCAGAUUGAAGAUUGCGCCGACCUAGUCGAGAUCGAUGGAAUCAGUUUUCUCUCCCCCAAUCGAUCGGCUUCAGCCGGUUGUAAGCAACGUUCUCCCACGUUGGUGGGGUUUCGGUUUGGUGAUGAAACUGAUACCAACGCAUCGGUUUUCAGCCCUAUUAUGCUGUACUGUUUGAUUUUUUUUUUUUUAUUUGAAUGAUUAAAAAAAUAAUUUUAAGUAUAUUAAUAUAUUUUUUAUUUUUAAAAAAUAUUUAAAUAUAUAUAUAUAAAAAGAAAAUUUGAACGGUACAGUAAUUCAAUCAUAGAAUAGUAAAGCUGGACAUUACCAGUACCGUACGUAGUCCCUAGUUUCGACACGAGUUAGGUUAUGUUUAGAUACUCUCAACACUUUUCAUUAUUAUUUAUUAUUUUAUUAUUACUUUCCACUUAUUUUUAUUAUUAUUUAUUAUUUUUUAUAUAUUUAUUAUUAUUAUUUAUUAUUUUAUUAUUAUUAUUCAUAACUCUUAUCAAUACCCCCAAAACACCUUUAAUCACCUGCCGUUGAGUACCUUUUACUUUUGUACUUUAAAUUCCUAAUGUUUUGUUUCUUUUUUGUGCUUUAAAUCGGACUUUGUUUCCGAUAUGCCUCUGGAUGAGAAUAUAAAAAGAGAAUCUAAAACAAAAACGCUAGGAUAAGAAUUGACUACGUGUCCAGGUUGUACUCGUUCAUUGAGCCACAUUAUUAAACAUUAUUAUUGGGUGGAUUUAGGUUAUUCUACGUGGUCACUUUCUGGAUCGACACGUAACCCAUCGUUUUUGCCAAUCUAGUCCUCGCUUGUUGCGGUUGGUUCUCCAACCACGCCAUUCAUAUCAGCUCAGCCGCUCAGGGUAGCCAAGAGCUUCAUGCCCAUUUGGCAUAGCGGCCCUAUGUCGUUUUUGUCCACGCUUUUGUGUUGCACAAGAUGGGGCACGCCAGUAUGCGAUAUCUUGCUUGUUAAAUUUUUUCAAGUAAGCGCUCUCGAGUUCUCAUGACGGUUUCUGUCUACAGAAUGGUGGAUGAAAUUUUCUCCUCGUUGUCGCUAACGGGUGGGCAGCGGACUGGAUAUAAACCCGCUUGUUAAAUACCGAUUGUCUGUAUAUACACAAAACAUUAUCUGUUAUGUCGAGGUAAGGUGAAACAUUGGUUUUUUUUGGGUUUGAGUGAUGGGAAAUUCCAGGUUAAAUAAGAUCAAAAUGUUUUAAGUUCGGGAAUUUUUUUAAAAAAGGUAAACUCUCAGUUUCUUAUUCUCGUUGUGCUUCUACUCUACACCCACCGACCAUUCUAUCUCUGUGUCUCACCUUUUUUUUUUUUUUUUUAUAAGAUAUCUGUAUCUCACUAGAUGAUCUGUUCUCACCUUUUUUUCAACUACCACUAGCUCGUCUAUCUUCUAAGCAAUGCAUGUCAUUAUUGCCAAUUAGAGCUCCAUUGCUCCCAGCGAAACAUAUCUUCGAGCUUCCUUCGAUUAAGGCCAGGGUUAGGUGAGGAUUCGGAUCGAAAACUUGCAAGGAAAUAUGGUGCCCUCCUUUGAAUAUGGAUGGCCAAGGCCACACAACGUCCGCCCACUGGAAGCUGGGACAAGGGCGAUGGGUAGAAAAUUUGCCAGAAUUGGGCUUGUAUGAGCCAUAAAAUAAGAUAAUAGUUAAAAGAAAGCGGAUUUUGAUUCAAAGCACAAACCGCGGUCUUCAGCCAUCAGAGAUCAGAGAUCAUUAAAUCACUUCUUGAAGUUGCGUGCAUAACAGAUUAGAACAAGAAGGAAGGGAGAAAAAAAGAGUGCUAGGGGAGAAGCCCAAAUACAAAGGAAGUAUACAAAGGAAAACACUUAGCUAAGAUGAGGAAGGAGAACAAGAAUUCAUAACAUCUACAAAGUAUGAGAAGCUGGUGUUGUUUUGGACUGUUGUCCAAUCAUACAAUGAUACAAAGAUUUGAGCACUAAGGUACUUAACUCAAGCAAGGUUCUCUCACGAUCUUCAACGCUCUCUUUUUGGAAUCAUUUUAGCUACAGGGACUUCUUUAAUGUUGCUCUUUAGUUGUUGCUAGAUGCAAAUUGCUGAAAAACUCUAGUGAUACAUGAUAUGUUGUGUCAGUUCAAGGUAUAUACUUAAAUUUGAGGCAUAUUGCUAAUGAUGAAUAUCCAGUUAUGGGUGUCAGGACAAAAUGAUCGGCUCCCCCACGUAAUGGAGAAAAGAACUAAUGAAGCAUUCUAGCACUCAUGCAACUGGAACAUUGGUAGGCAAUGACGGAAGUGUGGAAAUUCAUGUUCUUGCCAGUCCAUUGUCUCACGUUCUUCAGGAAUUCUAAGCUUCUCUAUAUGCACUGCUUAAAACCGGAGGAAUACAAUUUUAGAAAAAAAUUAUGAUGAUCCUUCCAGGAAAGUUUCAGUAUUACUUCUAGGAUGAGUCUUACCAGUGACUACAGUUAGGCCCUGUUCAUAGGUCCGUGCUUUGACUGAAACACCUCUUUUGCUCCUUUUCUUCAUCAAGAGGAACUCGGUUUCAGAAGCAAUUGCCACGGAAGCAGCUUUCAACAUUUUGGGAUUGGCUUCUAUGCAUAUGGGAAACUGAAAUAUUUGAUUGCUUAUUUCAGAAGUAUAUUCUACUCCCUUUGUUUUGAACUUGGGAGGAAACCCAUAUAUCUUCCCACUGCACUUCCAUAAUUCAUUUUUUGAAUUUAUGUUGAUAUUCUUUCCCUACUGAUCUGUCAAGGCAAACGAACUAUCUUUUACUGGAUUUAUUUUGAAAUAAUUGUGCAGCUAUCAGGAGCUUCUUCAAGGCACACGAAGUGGUUUUUUGGCUGCUUUACCUUCUGCAAUUGUGAACUAAGCACCAUGGUCUUGACUACAGCGGAUCAGAUUAUAGUCUGACAUUUUCGCCCACCCUUCUCUGGACAAUUUUCUUCACUGAUCUGCCUCAUUGUGCAACCUUCGAUAGAUUUACAUUAUAUGUUUCAUGUUGCCCUUCCCCUUUUUAUAGAAUUUUAUUCCAUCAAUCUUUCAUGUUUACUCUGCAGUUCUGUGUUUUUGCAUCAUAUUUUGACCAAGGAUGCACGUUCAUUUAAUUUCAGGGGUAAGGUAUCAAGGUACAAUGUGAUGUGCCUAAAUCGAGAACUGUUAUGACAGUGACUGAACUAAGAGUGGAAUGCAUCAAAAUUACUCGUAUUAGAACAUCAAAAGUGACGUAAUGGGCAGUAUGUCGUUUCUUUAUUUUUGCUUUUUUUAACAAUCUAAUUUAUUAAACACCGCAAGGGGUUGACGCAAGUGGUGAAGGCUUUGGUCUUGGGAUAUCACUCUCCUCAAGGACCAAGGUUCAACACCUCAUGGGUGCAAACAAUCUUUUGGGCCACACUCCCUGGUGAAAAGUUAGCGAUUUAACCAGUUUCGUGUAGGAAAACUUCCCAGGAUGUAGCGCACGAAACCAGGGUUUACUCUGCAGGGGUGGGUCUGAAGGGCCCUACCUUGGAGAGCUUCCCCGACAUUAAAAAAAAAAAAAAAAAAAAUCUAGUUUAUUGACUUCUUUUUGGGGGAUGGGGCAUUUAAUGCAUGCAGUCAGAAAUUGGUAGAGGUCAAAAGAAGCUAGCACUCAUUGUAGAAGUGGCGGAAAUCAUUGACAUUUCAAUGUUUAUGCAAUUCUGCUUGUUGAAUUCUAUUGUGAGAAGGUAAUGACUGUAACUUCCUGUUAGGAACCUGUUCCUUAAACUUGUGCAAGAGUCUGCUUCUGUAAAUCCUAUUUUUUCUUAUGUUUCUUAUAUUAUCUAUUGCACUACUCAUCCUUUGUGACAACGUGUUCUCAUUAGUAUUGUGUGAAUUUUGUAUGGUUGGGUUGAAUAUAUGUUGCACAUCUAUCCUGCAUACUGCAUACUGGAUGUGUUUUUCCUUACCAGAUGCAGAGAUAACUUAUCUGCAGUCUUUUUCAAUCUUCAAUGCCAAAGGCUUGAGGCAGUCUGUAUCCUUGCACUGCCACUCCCAAGCACGGAUAAAGGAGGAUUAUGGUAGGUAGAAUGUCAACCAAAGUAUCUUAUCAUACCUUAUCACGCUGACCCCCAUGCUGGAUAAGUCUCUGUUGAGUUGUAUAUUAAAACAGCUUCUUUCAUUGUGUUGACAAGAUGUGUGGGUAACCACAGUGGUAUCGUGGUGCUUGGCCUAAUUGUGUUUGUACAGCUCAGUAUUGUAUGUAUGAAGCUUUUGUUCUAGACUUUAGAUGCGGCUGGAUUGAAUUUGAUGCUACAUAUCAUUAAGAAAAUUUGGACAGUAGGUUCCUGAUAUUAGCACCAUUCAUAAGAGUCAAGCUUUCCGCCUAACACUUCAGAAAAGCUAAUAUCUGGUUUCUCUUUGCUAUUAUUCUUGCAGUAUGUUUAUUCUCGACUGGGGAUUUCUUUUUCUCUCACUCACUCUUGGGUUCCUGAUUCUAAGGGGCCUAAAAAUGUAGUUCAAUACCUAGGAAACUAACAAGGAAACAUGGAUUCAUUCAUUUCCUCGAAGAAGAAAAAAUACUGAAUAAGCUGCAGUGCAGGUGUGGUAAUGAGGAAUGCAGUUAAUCUGAUGUAUCCCCUUCUUUUGGUUCCUGUUGAUGGAUGGGUGUUUUGACCAGAAAAGAUUUUGUGUUGGCAUUCUGAAGGGGUUCCGAGUAUCGAACAAUUCUUCAUAUCCAGGAACCUUGUUGACGAGGCACAGCUGUGUAUCUUCCUUGACUACACAGAUUUUUAUGUACAGAACUGUUCUGAACAAGAAGAUUUAAUAGAAGCAAAUUCUUGAAGGUCAAAACAUUGAAGAGUUUAGGAGGGCAGAGAAACCAAAGUACUUCGAUGUGAUACCUCAUAUGAUAAGGAGAAGUAUAAGUGGUGUAUGGGAUCCCACAUUGCUUGGGAAGCAGCAGUUUUUACUCUUUAUAAGAUUCUAAUGUGGCUCUAACUGUAUCAUUGACUAGUUCUUUUAAAAUAUAGGCUAUGUGGUUUGACCUUCUAUUAGGGCAUCACAAAUCCAUUGGUUCUGAAAGUUUAGGUUCAAUUCCUUGUACGAUGCAUGCAGAUUAUACAAUGAUGAUGAUGAUGCUACUCCUAUUAGUAAUAAGUUGAACAGGUAUCUCUUAGAUCCA